GUCUAAGUAUAAACACUUUUGUACUGUGAAACUGCGAAUGGCUCAUUAUAUCAGUUAUAGUCCACUCGAUAGUACCUUACUACUUGGAUACCCGUAGUAAUUCUAGAGCUAAUACAUGCAUCAAUACCCAACUGCUUGUCGGGCGGGUAGCAUUUAUUAGAUUGAAACCAAUGCAGUCGUAUUGUUGCCCGUUGAAUUCCGAGCCGAAUGAUAUGCAGGUUGCCUAUAGAGGCCUAAGUUGUGUGGUACACACAAUAUGAUGUGUACCACAUCAAAUAUGUAGUUUAAUAGGUUUUUGGACCCAUUUCAGGAUAAAUUUUGGGAG
rnacentral:ncRNA from 1 species